rnacentral:rRNA from 1 species
UACAGAGGAGGCAAGCGUUGUUCGGAAUCACUGGGCUUAAAGCGCGUGUAGGCGGCUCGGAAAGUGUCGUGUGAAAUCCCAGGGCUCAACCCUGGAACUGCGCGGCAAACUACCGGGCUUGAGGUUGGUAGAGGUGCCUGGAACUCUCGGUGGAGCGGUGAAAUGCGUAGAUAUCGAGAGGAACGCCGGAGGCGAAAGCGGGGCACUGGGCCAAUUCUGACGCUGAGACGCGAAAGCGUGGGGAGCAAAC